AUGAACGCUGGCGGCGUGCCUAAUCCCUGCCAGUCGGGCGCACAGACGAGGAGCUUGCUCCUCUGACGUUAGCGGCGGACGGGUGAGUAACACGUGGAUAACCUACCUAUAAGACUGGGAUAACUUCGGGAAACCGGAGCUAAUACCGGAUAAUAUAUUGAACCGCAUGGUUCAAUAGUGAAAGACGGUUUUGCUGUCACUUAUAGAUGGAUCCGCGCCGCAUUAGCUAGUUGGUAAGGUAACGGCUUACCAAGGCAACGAUGCGUAGCCGACCUGAGAGGGUGAUCGGCCACACUGGAACUGAGACACGGUCCAGACUCCUACGGGAGGCAGCAGUAGGGAAUCUUCCGCAAUGGGCGAAAGCUUGACGGAGCAACGCCGCGUGAGUGAUGAAGGUCUUCGGAUCGUAAAACUCUGUUAUUAGGGAAGAACAAAUGUGUAAGUAACUAUGCACGUCUUGACGGUACCUAAUCAGAAAGCCACGGCUAACUACGUG
rnacentral:rRNA from 1 species